rnacentral:rRNA from 1 species
GAUUAACGCUGGCGGCGUGCAUAACACAUGCAAGUCGAACGAUGAAACUUUAAUGAACCCUUCGGGGAGAAUUAAAGCGGCUUAGUGGCGAACGGGUGAGUAACGCGUGAGUAACCUGCCUUACACAAGGGGAUAGCCUUUGGAAACGAAGAAUAAUACCCUAUAAAACCAUAAAAGCACAUGCAAUUAUGGUCAAAGUGAUAGCGGUGUAAGAUGGACUUGCGUCUGAUUAGCUAGUUGGUGAGAUAAAAGCCCACCAAGGCAACGAUCAGUAGCCGGCUUGAGAGAGUGUACGGCCACAUUGGGACUGAGACACGGCCCAGACUCCUACGGGAGGCAGCAGUGGGGAAUUGUGCACAAUGGGGGAAACCCUGAUGCAGCGACGCCGCGUGAUUUAGAAGGCCUUCGGGUUGUAAAAAUCUUUUGUAUAGGAAGAAAAUGACAGUACUAUACGAAUAAGGUCCGGCUAAUUACGU